UAUAGUAUAGUCAUUUAUUUCCUGUUGAUGAAAUUUCUAGUCUAGUAUAGUUCUAGUAUAGUAUUUAUCGUUGAUUUGAUUCCUCAUCUCCAUAGUUGAAUAAUAAACCUAGACACAAACUAGAUACGGAAUAACUACGUUUCUUUCUAUAUGAUAAUAUUACCUGAGGGGAGGAGAUGCCUGAAAAUUGGUUUCUUCUUUUCAAGAGUUGGGAUUGAAGGAUUUGCUAAUGCCUGACCCUUCUCAACUAGAAACUCUUCCGCUCCUCUGGACCUUUGGAAAACCAAGAAGCAGAAUGCAGUGUCUGCUAUGAUUGCCCCAGAUGUAAGUUGGCCUCCCCCAGCCACAACUAUUUUAGCCGAAUUUCUCUUUUGGAUAUGGCAAGUGGUUUUAACUGUGAAAGACAAAUCAAUGAAUGUACUUGAACUGCCGGUAUCAAUAAGGGCAAUGCCUGUUUGUCCACCAACAGUGACCUUGACUGAAAAUGUGACAGUAGUGACUUGCCCUGAAACUGCAUGAGCCGAAAUAUGCAUGAGAUACUCAUUUGGAGGGGAGUCCUGAUCCUGUGGGAUUUCUUCUUCUUCUUGUACUGCAAUCUCUUGUGUGGCAUCAUUUGGUGUGUUAGUUUCCUGCAUGACAUUGAUAGUAGGGAUUACUUGCAUUUGUGACCAGGGACCCAUUUGUCACCACAUCUCCAGCAUUCACCAGCUUUUCUAGCUCGCUGUUGUUGCACUUGGGGAGCCGCAGGUUGUUCUUUAGUUUUGUCUUGUGUGGUGGUAGCAGGUUCUGCACAAAAGGUCUGCAUGGAGCAGCAGUGAUCUGUCUCUGAUAUGAAGAAAACUAUUUCUUAGGUGGGGCACUGCGUUCCAUGUCUUUGGCCUCCCAGUACGCAUCAGUCAGGGACUCUGGAUGGAGAGGCCUGAGUUGGUGUUUGAUGUCAUGACGAAGGCCGUUGACAAAGCAUUUUACAAACCACUCUUCAAUUAGCUCUAGUGUAUCUUGUUUCAACAUAGCCAUGA
rnacentral:lncRNA from 1 species